rnacentral:rRNA from 1 species
AGACAUAAAAACGAGUUGGCGGACGGGUGAGUAAUGUCUCCGGAAACUGCCUGAUGGAGGGGGAUAACUACUGGAAACGGUAGCUAAUACCGCAUAACGUCGCAAGACCAAAGAGGGGGACCUUCGGGCCUCUUGCCAUCGGAUGUGCCCAGAUGGGAUUAGCUAGUAGGUGGGGUAACGGCUCACCUAGGCGACGAUCCCUAGCUGGUCUGAGAGGAUGACCAGCCACACUGGAACUGAGACACGGUCCAGACUCCUACGGGAGGCAGCAGUGGGGAAUAUUGCACAAUGGGCGCAAGCCUGAUGCAGCCAUGCCGCGUGUAUGAAGAAGGCCUUCGGGUUGUAAAGUACUUUCAGCGGGGAGGAAGGGAGUAAAGUUAAUACCUUUGCUCAUUGACGUUACCCGCAGAAGAAGCACCGGCUAACUCCGUGCCAGCAGCCGCGGUAAUACGGAGGGUGCAAGCGUUAAUCGGAAUUACUGGGCGUAAAGCGCACGCAGGCGGUUUGUUAAGUCAGAUGUGAAAUCCCCGGGCUCAACCUGGGAACUGCAUCUGAUACUGGCAAGCUUGAGUCUCGUAGAGGGGGGUAGAAUUCCAGGUGUAGCGGUGAAAUGCGUAGAGAUCUGGAGGAAUACCGGUGGCGAAGGCGGCCCCCUGGACGAAGACUGACGCUCAGGGUGCGAAAGCGUGGGGAGCAAACAGGGAUUAGAUACCCUGGUAGUCCACGCCCGUAAACGAUGUCGACUUGGAAGGU